CCUACGGGAGGCUGCAGUGGGGAAUAUUGGACAAUGGGGGCAACCCUGAUCCAGCCAUGCCGCGUGUGUGAAGAGGGCCCUCGGGUUGUAAAGCACUUUCAGUGAGGAAGAACGCCUGGUGGUUAAUACCCAUCAGGAAAGACAUCACUCACAGAAGAAGCACCGGCUAACUCCGUGCCAGCAGCCGCGGUAAUACGGAGGGUGCGAGCGUUAAUCGGAAUUACUGGGCGUAAAGCGCGCGUAGGUGGCUUGAUAAGCCGGUUGUGAAAGCCCCGGGCUCAACCUGGGAACGGCAUCCGGAACUGUCAAGCUAGAGUGCAGGAGAGGAAGGUAGAAUUCCCGGUGUAGCGGUGAAAUGCGUAGAGAUCGGGAGGAAUACCAGUGGCGAAGGCGGCCUUCUGGACUGACACUGACACUGAGGUGCGAAAGCGUGGGUAGCAAACAGGAUUAGAUACCCCGGUAGUC
rnacentral:rRNA from 1 species